GCUCCGGUAGUCUAGCUCGGCCAAGGACACAGCCCUCUCACGGCUGUGACCCGGGUUCAAAUCCCGGCCGGAGUA
rnacentral:tRNA from 1 species